UGCAAGUCGAACGCGAAAGUUCCUUCGGGAACGAGUAGAGUGGCGCACGGGUGAGUAACGCGUGGGUAACCUACCCUUAAGUCUGGGAUAACCCCGGGAAAGUAGGGCUAAUACCGGAUAACCCCCCGGAGUGAGUGCUCCGGGGCUGAAAGCUCCGACGCUGAGGGAUGAGUCUGCGUUCCAUUAGCUAGUUGGUCGGGUAAUAGCCUACCAAGGCAACGAUGGAUAGCGGGUCUGAGAGGAUGAUCCGCCACACUGGCACUGAGACACGGGCCAGACUCCUACGGGAGGCAGCAGUGGGGAAUCUUGCGCAAUGGGCGAAAGCCUGACGCAGCAAUGCCGCGUGAGCGAAGAAGGCCUUCGGGUCGUAAAGCUCUUUAUCUCCGGGAAGAUGAUGACGGUACCGGAGGAAUAAGCACCGGCUAACUACGUGCCAGCAGCCGCGGUAAUACGUAGGGUGCGAGCGUUGUUCGGAAUUACUGGGCGUAAAGGGUGUGUAGGCGGACUGGUCAGCUAGAGGUGAAAGCCCGGGGCUCAACUCCGGAACUGCUUUUAGAACUGCCAGUCUAGAGAGGGUCAGAGGUCAGCGGAAUUCCUGGUGUAGAGGUGAAAUUCGUAGAUAUCAGGAGGAACACCGGCGGCGAAAGCGGCUGGCUGGGGCCACUCUGACGCUGAGGCACGAAAGCGUGGGGAGCGAACGGGAUUAGAUACCCCGGUAGUCCACGCCGUAAACGAUGGAUACUAGAUGUUCGGAGGGAUCGACCCCUUUGAGUGUCACAGCUAACGCAUUAAGUAUCCCGCCUGGGAAGUACGGUCGCAAGACUAAAACUCAAAGGAAUUGACGGGGGCCCGCACAAGCGGUGGAACAUGUGGUUUAAUUCGACGCAACGCGAAGAACCUUACCUGGAUUUGACAUCCUGUGACCGCUAUGGAGACAUAGUUUUCUCUUCGGAGACGCGGUGACAGGUGCUGCAUGGCUGUCGUCAGCUCGUGUCGUGAGAUGUUGGGUUAAGUCCCGCAACGAGCGCAACCCUUGUCCUUAGUUGCCAUCAGGUUAAGCUGGGCACUCUAAGGAGACUGCCGGUGACAAGCCGGAGGAAGGUGGGGAUGACGUCAAGUCCUCAUGGCCUUUAUAUCCAGGGCUACACACGUGUUACAAUGGGAGUGACAAAGAGCAGCGAGACGGUGACGUGGAGCUAAUCUCAAAAAAACUCUCUCAGUUCGGAUUGCAGUCUGCAACUCGACUGCAUGAAGGUGGAAUCGCUAGUAAUCGUGGAUCAGCACGCCACGGUGAAUACGUUCCCGGGCCUUGUACACACCGCCCGUCACACCAUGGGAGUUGACAGGGGCAGAAGUCGUUGAGCCAACCUUCGGGAGGCAGGC
rnacentral:rRNA from 1 species